rnacentral:rRNA from 1 species
UACGUAGGGGGCAAGCGUUGUCCGGAUUUAUUGGGCGUAAAGAGCGUGUAGGCGGCUUGGAAGGUCAGCUGUGAAAACUCGAGGCUCAACCUCGAGACGUCGGUUGAAACCACCUGGCUAGAGUCCGGAAGAGGAGAGUGGAAUUCCCGGUGUAGUGGUGAAAUGCGUAGAUAUCGGGAGGAACACCAGUGGCGAAGGCGACUACCUGGCCUGUUCUUGACGCUGAGGCGCGAAAGCUAGGGGAGCAAACGGG